rnacentral:lncRNA from 1 species
UAUAUUUGAUUAAGUCUUCUAUAUUUUGGGUUAGUGGGAGUUUGUUGUAGCAUUUUAGAUGCAUGGACCUUUAUUGGAUUACAAAUUCUUAAUUUUAUAAUGUUAAUCCAUAUUAUUCUAUGUGAAAUUUAAGGUUUAGCAUGUAUGAUUUUGUUUGCCCUAUCGGAUUCAAUUUCUGCACUGUUUAAAUCUUAUGUUUCUUAUACUUUAGAUGACAUGUUUUAUUAUAUUUGAUAAAUUUCUA